CGUACACAAAAGCGCAUGUGUUGUGAGCUCGAUGAGUAGGGCGGGACACGUGGUAUCCUGUCUGAAUAUGGGGGGACCAUCCUCCAAGGCUAAAUACUCCUGACUGACCGAUAGUGAACCAGUACCGUGAGGGAAAGGCGAAAAGAACCCCGGCGAGGGGAGUGAAAAAGAACCUGAAACCGUGUACGUACAAGCAGUGGGAGCCCCACCACUAAGCCAGUGGUGAACUCCACAUACGCAUCCUUUGCUGAAGGUGCGGUUAACGGAGCGCAAGCGACGCCCAACACACAAAACAAGCGGUGAGUGCUUUGGGGUGGGGUGACUGCGUACCUUUUGUAUAAUGGGUCAGCGACUUAUAUUCUGUAGCAAGGUUAACCGUAUAGGGGAGCCGGAGGGAAACCGAGUCUUAAUUGGGCGUUAAGUUGCAGGGU
rnacentral:rRNA from 1 species